rnacentral:rRNA from 1 species
AGGGAAUCUUCGGCAAUGGACGGAAGUCUGACCGAGCAACGCCGCGUGAGUGAAGAAGGUUUUCGGAUCGUAAAGCUCUGUUGUAAGAGAAGAACGAGUGUGAGAGUGGAAAGUUCACACUGUGACGGUAUCUUACCAGAAAGGGACGGCUAACUGCGUGCCAGCAGCCGCGGUAAUACGUAGGUCCCGAGCGUUGUCCGGAUUUAUUGGGCGUAAAGCGAGCGCAGGCGGUUAGAUAAGUCUGAAGUUAAAGGCUGUGGCUUAACCAUAGUACGCUCUGGAAACUGUUUAACUUGAGUGCAGAAGGGGAGAGUGGAAUUCCAUGUGUAGCGGUGAAAUGCGUAGAUAUAUGGAGGAACACCGGUGGCGAAAGCGGCUCUCUGGUCUGUAACUGACGCUGAGGCUCGAAAGCGUGGGGAGCAAACAGGAUUAGAUACCCUGGUAGUCCACGCCGUAAACGAUGAGUGCUAGGUGUUAGACCCUUUCCGGGGUUUAGUGCCGCAGCUAACGCAUUAAGCACUCCGCCUGGGGAGUACGACCGCAAGGUUG